rnacentral:rRNA from 1 species
UGGUGGAGUGAUUUGUCUGGUUGAUUCCGUUAACGAACGAGACCUCAGCCUGCUAAAUAGAGACACGAUCCUUCCGGAUGGUGAUCUACUUCUUAGAGGGACUAUGUGUGUUUAACACAUGGAAGUUUGAGGCAAUAACA